rnacentral:rRNA from 1 species
AGUGAACGCUGGCGGUAGGCCUAACACAUGCAAGUCGAACGGCAGCACAGUAAGAGCUUGCUCUUACGGGUGGCGAGUGGCGGACGGGUGAGGAAUACAUCGGAAUCUACUUUUUCGUGGGGGAUAACGUAGGGAAACUUACGCUAAUACCGCAUACGACCUACGGGUGAAAGCAGGGGAACUUCGGACCUUGCGCGAUUGAAUGAGCCGAUCUCGGAUUAGCUAGUUGGCGGGGUAAAGGCCCACCAAGGCGACGAUCCGUAGCUGGUCUGAGAGGAUGAUCAGCCACACUGGAACUGAGACACGGUCCAGACUCCUACGGGAGGCAGCAGUGGGGAAUAUUGGACAAUGGGCGCAAGCCUGAUCCAGCCAUACCGCGUGGGUGAAGAAGGCCUUCGGGUUGUAAAGCCCUUUUGUUGGGAAAGAAAAGCAGCAGGUUAAUACCCCGCUGUUCUGACGGUACCCAAAGAAUAAGCACCGGCUAACUUCGUG